UACGUAGGGGGCAAGCGUUGUCCGGAAUCAUUGGGCGUAAAGAGCGUGUAGGCGGUCCGGUAAGUCGGCUGUGAAAGUCCAGGGCUCAACCCUGGGAUGCCGGUCGAUACUGCCGGACUAGAGUUCGGAAGAGGCGAGUGGAAUUCCCGGUGUAGCGGUGAAAUGCGUAGAUAUCUGGAGGAACACCGGUGGCGAAGGCGGCAUCCUGGACCGGCAUUGACGCUGAGGCGCGAAAGCCAGGGGAGCAAACGGG
rnacentral:rRNA from 1 species